rnacentral:rRNA from 1 species
GAUGAACGCUGGCGGCGUGCCCAACACAUGCAAGUCGAGCGAUCUCUUCGGAGAGAGCGGCGGACGGGUGAGUAACGCGUGGGUAACCUGCCCUGUACACACGGAUAACAUACCGAAAGGUAUACUAAUACGGGAUAAUAUAUGAAAGUCGCAUGGCUUUUGUAUCAAAGCUCCGGCGGUACAGGAUGGACCCGCGUCUGAUUAGCUAGUUGGUAAGGUAAUGGCUUACCAAGGCAACGAUCAGUAGCCGACCUGAGAGGGUGAUCGGCCACACUGGAACUGAGACACGGUCCUGACUCCUACGGGAGGCAGCAGUGGGGAAUAUUGCACAAUGGGCGAAAGCCUGAUGCAGCAACGCCGCGUGAGCGAUGAAGGCCUUCGGGUCGUAAAGCUCUGUCCUCAAGGAAGAUAAUGACGGUACUUGAGGAGGAAGCCCCGGCUAACUACGUGCCAGCCGCCGCCGUAA